GAGGCUAUAGCUCAAGUGGUAGAGCACAUGCUUAGCAUGCACAAGGCCCUGGGUUCAAUACCCAGUACCUCCU
rnacentral:tRNA from 1 species